AUUGAACGCUAGCGGCAUGCCUUACACAUGCAAGUCGAACGGUGUGGCGAACGGGUGAGUAAUGUAUUGGAACGUGCCCAGUAGCGGGGGAUAACUACGCGACAGCGUAGCUCAUACCCCAUACUAUUGCACCGGUCGAUAUCGGAUUAGCUAGUUGGUGGGGUAACGGCUCACCAAGGCGACGAUCCGUAGCUGGUUUGCGAGGAGGACCAGCCACACUGGGACUGAGACACGGCCCAGACUCCUACGGGAGGCAGCAGUGGGGAAUUUUGGACAAUGGGGGAAACCCUGAUCCAGCCAUCCCGCGUGUGCGAUGAAGGCCUUCGGGUUGUAAAGCACUUUUGGCAGGAAAGCGGUACCUGCAGAAUAAGCACCGGCUAACUACGUGCCAGCAGCCGCGGUAAUUC
rnacentral:rRNA from 1 species